rnacentral:rRNA from 1 species
GAUGAACGCUGGCGGCGUGCCUAAUACAUGCAAGUAGAACGCUGAAGGAGGAGCUUGCUCUUCUGGAUGAGUUGCGAACGGGUGAGUAACGCGUAGGUAACCUGCCUGGUAGCGGGGGAUAACUAUUGGAAACGAUAGCUAAUACCGCAUGACAACAGUUAUUGCAUGAUAACUGUUUAAAAGGGGCAACUGCUCCACUACCAGAUGGACCUGCGUUGUAUUAGCUAGUUGGUGAGGUAACGGCUCACCAAGGCGACGAUACAUAGCCGACCUGAGAGGGUGAUCGGCCACACUGGGACUGAGACACGGCCCAGACUCCUACGGGAGGCAGCAGUAGGGAAUCUUCGGCAAUGGACGGAAGUCUGACCGAGCAACGCCGCGUGAGUGAAGAAGGUUUUCGGAUCGUAAAGCUCUGUUGUAAGAAAAGAACGAGUGUGAGAGUGGAAAGUUCACACUGUGACGGUAGCUUACCAGAAAGGGACGGCUAACUACGUG